rnacentral:lncRNA from 1 species
AUUUAGUGUUAGGAACUAUUCCAAGUGCUUUAUGUGUAUUAAUGCAUUAAUUCUCACAACAAUCCUAUGAGAUAAAUUCUAUUAUAGAUCCCCAUUUUGAAGAAGAGGAAACUCAGGAAAAUCCUAGAUUUUCUACGAGGUACAAUUUAUUUCCUAAAUCAUCUUUAGUCUUCCUCUUCUCAGACACUGAGAUGUUACUAAGGGAAGCCUUCUCUUAUACUGUACAGUCUGAAGUGGGUUUGGGAGAGAAGUUCAUAAGUAGAUGGGUAGUUUCACUAAAGUAAGUGAUAAUGUGAGAAAAUAUAGAGGAGGAAAGGAUGGGAGCUUGAAGGUGAGCAGCAGAAUGGGCUUCUAGGAAGAUGCACAUCUAAGCCAAGUCCUAAAGGAGUUUUUAAGGUUUAGUAUUGAGGAAACUACUUACACAAAUUUACAAACUCCUUAGAAUAUGACUUCUGUUGCUGCUGCUGCUGCUGCUCUUUCUCCUCCUCUUCCUUCCUUAAGGGAAGGGAAAGAAGAGAAUAAUUUAUCUUACCGUCCACAGGGAGACAAAAUAACUUGCCCAAGUUCACACAGCUGGAAAAUGACCAGAGAGAUUCAAGCGCAGAUCAAAUCUAUCACUCAAGUCUGUCUGCUGUAUCACACUAGGAGCCACUUUCAGCAUUUUGUCUGCAGUAGGCAUUCAGGGAUGCUUGCUGAGUUGAUUUCAAAACUACUGACCUUCAGAUCUAUAUAACUUAUGGACUGAAAAAUUUGUAGAGAAAGGAUGGGUGGCCUGAGCCCAUAGACUCCAUGAUGUCUCCAGGUCCCAUUUUUGCUGACUUCUGUAG